rnacentral:rRNA from 1 species
AUGAACGCUAGCGACAGGCUUAACACAUGCAAGUCGAGGGGCAGCACAGGUAGCAAUACCGGGUGGCGACCGGCGCACGGGUGAGUAACGCGUAUGCAACUUGCCUAUCAGAGGGGGAUAACCCGGCGAAAGUCGGACUAAUACCGCAUGAAGCAGGGGCCCCGCAUGGGGAUAUUUGCUAAAGAUUCAUCGCUGAUAGAUAGGCAUGCGUUCCAUUAGGCAGUUGGCGGGGUAACGGCCCACCAAACCGACGAUGGAUAGGGGUUCUGAGAGGAAGGUCCCCCACAUUGGUACUGAGACACGGACCAAACUCCUACGGGAGGCAGCAGUGAGGAAUAUUGGUCAAUGGGCGUAAGCCUGAACCAGCCAAGUCGCGUGAGGGAUGAAGGUUCUAUGGAUCGUAAACCUCUUUUAUAAGGGAAUAAAGUGCGGGACGUGUCCCGUUUUGUAUGUACCUUAUGAAUAAGGAUCGGCUAACUCCGUGCCAGCAGCCGCGGUAAUACGGAGGAUCCGAGCGUUAUCCGGAUUUAUUGGGUUUAAAGGGUGCGUAGGCGGCCUUUUAAGUCAGCGGUGAAAGUCUGUGGCUCAACCAUAGAAUUGCCGUUGAAACUGGGGGGCUUGAGUAUGUUUGAGGCAGGCGGAAUGCGUGGUGUAGCGGUGAAAUGCAUAGAUAUCACGCAGAACCCCGAUUGCGAAGGCAGCCUGCCAAGCCAUUACUGACGCUGAUGCACGAAAGCGUGGGGAUCGAACAGGAUUAGAUACCCUGGUAGUCCACGCAGUAAACGAUGAUCACUAGCUGUUUGCGAUACACUGUAAGCGGCACAGCGAAAGCGUUAAGUGAUCCACCUGGGGAGUACGCCGGCAACGGUGAAACUCAAAGGAAUUGACGGGGGCCCGCACAAGCGGAGGAACAUGUGGUUUAAUUCGAUGAUACGCGAGGAACCUUACCCGGGUUUGAACGCAUUCGGACCGAGGUGGAAACACCUUUUCUAGCAAUAGCCGUUUGCGAGGUGCUGCAUGGUUGUCGUCAGCUCGUGCCGUGAGGUGUCGGCUUAAGUGCCAUAACGAGCGCAACCCUUGCCACUAGUUACUAACAGGUAAAGCUGAGGACUCUGGUGGGACUGCCAGCGUAAGCUGCGAGGAAGGCGGGGAUGACGUCAAAUCAGCACGGCCCUUACAUCCGGGGCGACACACGUGUUACAAUGGCGUGGACAAAGGGAGGCCACCUGGCGACAGGGAGCGAAUCCCCAAACCACGUCUCAGUUCGGAUCGGAGUCUGCAACCCGACUCCGUGAAGCUGGAUUCGCUAGUAAUCGCGCAUCAGCCAUGGCGCGGUGAAUACGUUCCCGGGCCUUGUACACACCGCCCGUCAAGCCAUGGGAGCCGGGGGUACCUGAAGUCCGUAACCGAAAGGAUCGGCCUAGGGUAAAACUAGUGACUGGGGCU